AAGUCGUAACAAGGUUUCCGUAGGUGAACCUGCGGAAGGAUCAUUAACACUAUUUUUAUUUUAUUGAAAAUUUCAAAACUUUUCAAUAAUUUAACUUCUACCCACAUUUUUUGGAUGAAUUAUAUCUUUUAUUAAUUUUUUAUAAAUUUUUAUAACCAACUAUUAUUUCUAACAUUUAUACACAAAAAAGUUUAAGAAAAACAUAAAAAACAACUCUUAACAACGGAUAUCUAGGCUCUC
rnacentral:misc_RNA from 1 species